rnacentral:rRNA from 1 species
AACGAACGCUGGCGGCAGGCUUAACACAUGCAAGUCGAGCGCCCCGCAAGGGGAGCGGCAGACGGGUGAGUAACGCGUGGGAAUCUACCCAUCUCUACGGAAUAACGCAUGGAAACGUGUGCUAAUACCGUAUACGUCCUUCGGGAGAAAGAUUUAUCGGAGAUGGAUGAGCCCGCGUUGGAUUAGCUAGUUGGUGGGGUAAAGGCCUACCAAGGCGGCGAUCCAUAGCUGGUCUGAGAGGAUGAUCAGCCACACUGGGACUGAGACACGGCCCAGACUCCUACGGGAGGCAGCAGUGGGGAAUAUUGGACAAUGGGCGCAAGCCUGAUCCAGCCAUGCCGCGUGAGUGAUGAAGGCCCUAGGGUUGUAAAGCUCUUUCACCGGUGAAGAUAAUGACGGUAACCGGAGAAGAAGCCCCGGCCAACUUCGUGCCAGCCGCCGCCGUAAUAC